rnacentral:rRNA from 1 species
AUUGAACGCUGGCGGCAGGCCUAACACAUGCAAGUCGAGCGGAGCGGCGGACGGGUGAGUAAUGCCUAGGAAUCUGCCUGGUAGUGGGGGAUAACGUCCGGAAACGGGCGCUAAUACCGCAUACUAGCAGAUGAGCCUAGGUCGGAUUAGCUAGUUGGUGGGGUAAAGGCCUACCAAGGCGACGAUCCGUAACUGGUCUGAGAGGAUGAUCAGUCACACUGGAACGGAGACACGGUCCAGACUCCUACGGGAGGCAGCAGUGGGGAAUAUGGGAAAAUGGGCGAAAGCCUGAUCCAGCCAGGCCGGGUGUGUGAAGAAGGUCUUCGGAUUGUAAAGCAUUUUAAGUUGGGAGGCGUUACCAACAGAAUAAGCACCGGCUAACCUCGUGCCAGCCGCCGCGUAAUUC